rnacentral:rRNA from 1 species
UACGGGGGGGGGCAAGCGUUGUUCGGAAUUACUGGGCGUAAAGGGCGCGUAGGCGGCCUUCUAAGUCAGACGUGAAAUCCCUCGGCUCAACCGGGGAACUGCGUCUGAGACUGGAAGGCUUGAAUCCGGGAGAGGGAUGUGGAAUUCCAGGUGUAGCGGUGAAAUGCGUAGAUAUCUGGAGGAACACCGGUGGCGAAGGCGGCAUCCUGGACCGGUAUUGACGCUGAGGCGCGAAAGCCAGGGGAGCAAACGGG